UGCAGUUCAGUUUCUCAGCAGAUGGAAAGAGCCCUGAGCAUGCAAGGUGAAUAUUUGUCUAAGACUGGCCAGAAAUCUGAAUAGUGCUUGAUUUUCUAGAUUCAAGCAAAUUACUCAUGCUUGGGCACCCUCUUCUAUAGCCCUGAGAAGCCACAAUCGACAGCUUAUUCUCACCCAUUAAGUCAGGUCCCAAACACUAUUAUCAAGUCCUAACAACUGUCGUGAAAAUUAGAAAUAUGCUGGCAUUAGGAACUGGCAGCUCUGUUUAGCUCUGUCACAGGCAGACUGCCUUUCCAAUGUAUCAUUAGGAAGCUGGGAAAUUGGAGCUAAUGGAUGGGCUUUCUGCAGUUUUCCUCUUUUCUGGCAUUCAGUGACCACUGGAUGGCACUGGGGUUACUGUCCUGCUCACAGAUACAUUGUGUUCAUGGAGCCUCAAACUUGUUCUGAGUGCACGCUGUCCUGUCACACUGGGCAAGCUGGAGCUGGCCAGUAGUCCAAGUCCUCAAAGUGCAAGGACACCAGCAAGAAAUGGGCCAGAAGGAAGCACAAGGGAGUUUGAUGCAGUCCCUUAUGUUUGUCUUGAAAUGCUUGGAAGGAAUGGCUACUUUGGCAACAAUACUUCGAGGGAAACUCAGCUGUGCCUGGGGAAAACUAGAGCCACUACUGCAGACAGACAGAGAGACACGGCAGAAAGACAAGCAUUUUGAGAGCACAGUUAAUUAUGAAGUUACCAGGACGUUUUCCAUCUGUUUCUGCAAUGAAGCCUUUCAGUCAUGA
rnacentral:lncRNA from 1 species